CGAUCCAGGAGACUGCGUGCCCUAACAAGUCGCCUCCCGUCUCUCUUUCUCGCGCUCUGCGUUCGAUUUCCCCUUCUUCUCUUCCUCGGGGGAGCGACAGCAAAAGACCUAAUCGAUGUCAGGUUCGUACGGCUCCGGCGGACUCGAUGAGACCGCGCCGCCUCCGCGAGGCGGUGGGUAUGGCCGAGGCCGCGGCGGUGGCGGAGGCGGAGGCGGUGGCGGUUAUGGUGGAAAUCCCGGGAAUCGAGGAGGCGGCGGUGGAUAUGGGGGCGGCGGGUAUCAAGGUGGCGAUCGUGGUAACCGUGGAGGUGGUGGGGGGAACCGAGGUGGUGGCCGCGGUGGCGGAGUUGGCCGGGAGGGUGAUUGGCGCUGCCCCAACCCCAGUUGCGGAAACCUGAACUUUGCGAGAAGAGUGGAGUGCAACAAGUGUGGUGCUCCUUGCCCUGGUGGUGGUGCUGGUCGUGGUGGAGGCUCUGGUGACAGUAACAGAGGCGAUGGAGGUGGUGGUUAUAAUAGAGGUGGUGGUGAUUAUAAUGGUGGAAGUGGUGGUGGUCGUGGUGGUUAUAAUAGUGGUGGUCGGGGACAUGCUGGGAACCGCGGUGGUAGGAGCACUGAUUAUGGGGGAAGAGGUGGAUCUUACAAUAACGAGAGGGAGGAUGGUGGUUAUGGUCAAGUUGCACCACCACCUCCAGCUGCAUAUGGUGGUCCUGUUGGAAAUUACCCUCCUGCUCCUAAUAAUUUUGGUGCAAAUAAUACUUAUGGUGGUGAUUCUGUUCCACCUCCUAGUGGCUACGGGGGCCCCAAUUCUUACCCUCCUUCAUAUGGCGCUCCUCCAAAUGCAUAUGGCACUGAAGGUCCUGCAGUUCGUGGUGGUCCACCAUCUAGCUAUGGUGCUCCGCCAUCUGGAUAUAGUGGCGGGUAUGGUGAUCGUUCAAAUCCUGGCCGUGAUGGUGGUGCUCCACCGCGCCAUGGUGGUGGUUCAUAUGGUGCUGCUCCUGGUGAUCCUACUGCCACUAUUAAACAGUGUGAUGAAAAUUGUGGAGAAUCGUGUGAUAACUCGAGGAUUUACAUCUCAAACUUGCCUCCUGAUGUGACUACAGAAGAGCUGCGUGACCUUUUUGGAGGGAUCGGACAGGUUGGCAGGAUCAAACAAAAGCGGGGUUACAAGGACCAAUGGCCGUGGAAUAUUAAGAUAUAUACCGAUGAAUCUGGAAACAACAAAGGGGAUGCUGUUUUGUCAUAUGAAGAUCCAGCUGCUGCACAUUCUGCUGGGGGCUUCUACAACAACUAUGACAUGAGAGGAUACAAGAUUAACGUUGCAAUGGCAGAGAAGACUGCACCUAAAGCUCCACCUGCAUAUGGUCACGGCGGUGGCGGGAGAGGGGGUUACGGCGGUGGAGAUAGGCGCAGAGGCAAUUAUCAUGAUGGUGGGGGGUCUGGACCUGAUAGGCAUAAUUAUGGUGGCCAGCGAUCACGGCCAUACUGAAGGCUUGUGUGUGUUGAGGAUGUCAUCUGAGAGCUAUUUCUUGUCAUAGUGACAUGAGUUGUACUCGAAAAUGGAGCCUAAGAGGCAUGUGGAACUAAUCUCCAAACUGCUGCUAGAUUUGAAAAUUUUCAGUGUGCCCAAUCUUUUAUUUGUAGUAUACCAAAGAUAGGUCACAGGUUUUGACCACUCAAGGAUUUUACAUCACUACACAACACUUAGAUCAAACCUCCCCGAUCUGGCAAUGCUUUUGUUGCAUCAGAUGACUCUUUUGUUUUGAAACUUUCAAUUUUAGCCUGUUGCAUCAUAAACAAUCUUUUUACAAAAAAUGCAUUGUUUGUUUUCAAAAAGUUUUUUUAGGUGAGUGUGACUCCCCUUCUGGUUUUUUAUCUAUUAGUCUUCUGGGCAAGUCUUCCUUAUUAUGUAAAGAACUCUAGUACAAAAAUCUAAUUAUUAUGUCUCCA